rnacentral:lncRNA from 1 species
AAUUUGAAGGUUUAGGGUUUUAGGGUUUAGGAUUCGAAUUUCAUAAAAGUAUAUGGUUUAGGGUUUAUGUUUAGGGUUUAGAGUUGAUGUUUUAGGGUUUAGAUUUGAAGGUUUAGGAUUUAGAGUUUAGAGUUGAUGUUUCGGGGUUUAGGGUUUAGGGUUUGGAGUUGAUGUUUCAUGGUUUAGGGUUUAGAGUUGACGAUUUAGGGUUUAAAGUUGAUGUUUUAAGUUUAGAUUUAGGGUUUAGGGUUUACGUUUAGGGUUUAGAGUUGAUAUUUUAGGGUUUAGAUUUGAAGGUUUAGGGUUUAAGGUUUAGGGUUUAGAGUUGAUUUUUCGGGGUUUAGGGUUUAGAGUUGAUUUUUCGGGGUUUAGGGUUUAGAGUUGAUGAUUUAGGGUUUAAAGUUGAUGUUUUAAGUUUAGAUUAGUUAAUCGUUUGUUUUUUUUGUCAAAGUUAAUGAAAAGGUUAUAAAUGU